UCAGCCUUCCUCUCUCUUCUGGCUUCCAAUCGGAGAGAGAUCAGGAGCACACGCCUGUCUUCCAAAAUUUUCCACUCUAUCCUCUGAGCCCUUCGUUGGAGCCCUGCCCACCUUUGCUGACCCCAUGGACCUCACACUUACCUUCCUGGGUUGAGCAGGGGCUGCAGUCACAUCAGGGAGACAGACCCUUAUUUUUCCAGGGCCCCAGGAAGCGAAGGGCGCAUCAGUCCUCUAGAGAUCUGCUGUUGGGUUUGUCCACACCCUUCCCUUCUCUUUCAUUAACAGGCCCCUGUGAUCCGAUGUGUGGACACUGGGAUGGAGACAGGUCCCCUUCAGUGGGAUCACAAGCCAUAAGGACCUUCUAAGCCCGGAGUCAUUGGUGCCAGCUUCGCACGUUACGUGGGCCAAUAAAUCACUACACCUCCUGCUUUAACUCUCUGUGCCCUGCCCCUCGCCAUAGAAGGUUCUGCCUGAAACAAGCCGCAGUCGGAGAAGAACCCAACUCCGGAAAGGAAGCAGUGCCUGGAAUGGAACGGCUGAGAAGCUGCAGAGCUGGGCUGCUGGACCAUGGGCACUGUCACCAGUGAGGGUGGGGGCCGUGGGCAGGACCGGGAGUGGGCCCCGGCUGUGCCAGCCCGCAAGGCCUCCCGGAGCCCUGCUCCACUGGGCCUGGCGUGGGGUGGGUGACGGGGCUUUGGAGGCCUGUGAGAUGAGGCAAAGUGGUGAUGAUCUCCGUGUUCCCAGUCAGGAGGCCUGCAAGGGGACCUGACUUGCCUGAGGUCACAUGGCUCGUAAGGGGCAGUGCCGGGGUUGGGAUUCAGGUCCAUGUGACUCUAAGGAGCAAGGUCUUACAGAUCUCUGCUGUAGUCAGAGACCGAGGAAGAUGGGAUCUCAGACUUAGUUCCGAAUCUGAUAAACAGGGUCCUCGUAUGGCAAAAUCUGGUGUGUGCCCGCCCCAUCACACCUGUGUUCAGGGCGUGGCUCUCCUGCUUUCCCUCUGGCCUCUCUGUCUGGUCCUUCUUUGCCUCCCUGGCAGGACGCUUCCCUUCUUCCCAGCCUCUCAGUAACGGAGGGCUCCGGCCUCCAUCCUCUUCUCCUCUCUACGGACAUUCUCCCCAAGGGGAGAACAUCCGGUCCCAUGGAAAUGCCACGUACACGCUCAUGACCCCCAAAUUGACAUCUCUCACCUGGACUUGAACUUGAACAUCCCCCGCCCACUGUGCUUCUCAUCUGGAUGAGAAGCCUCUUGACUUUUCCCUCCCAGAUUUAUUGGGAUGUGAUUUGUCUGUAACAUCGUGUAAGUUUAAGGCGUGCGAUGUGUUAAUUUGACACAUGUAUAUAUUGUGAAGUGAUUACCACAACAAGGCUCACACCCGUCCCCUCACACAGCUACAACUGUGUGUGUGUGUGUGUGGUAGGAACAUUGCAGAUCUAGUCUCCGAGCACCUCUCGAGCACGUGGCACAGCACCGCUCCCUGUACGGUCACCACGCCGUGUGUCGGGUCCCCAGGACCCUCGCAUCUGAUAGCUGGACGCUUGUGCCCUCUGACCGACAUCUCCCCAUUGCUGCCCCGCCACCCCCUGGAACCCCCAUUCUACUCUCUGUUCCUUUGACUUUGUUUUUGAACUUUAGAUCCCACAUAUAGGAGAGAACGUACAGCACUGAUCUUUCUGUGUCUGACUCACUUCAUUUAGUGUAAUGCCCUCGAGGUCCAUCCAUAUUUUUGCAAAGGGCAGGAUUUCCUUCUUUAUGGUUGAAUAAUAUUUCAUCCAAGCAAUCUCCCCCGCACCCCCGCACCUGAAGGCGGGGCUGUGGUGCCUUCUCUGCAGGUGGAGAAGUGGAGACGGUCUACGGCGCCCUGCUCUCUCCUGAUCUGGUGCAGCUCAGUGUGGAGCUCCACAGGGGCGACCUCAGUGGGGGGCAUAUGAAAGGGGGCUGCCUGGAGGGGCAGAGAGCCCUGCCUAGCACGGGGCUUCCCCGGCUCGAAUCCCAGGGACCUCCUGGACAGCUUCCCCAUCUGACAGCGGAGGGAUUGGACCAGAUGAUGUCCAAGAACCACCAUGAGAUGUGACAGCUUGCACCCAGUGUCUUCAGUUCUCACAGCGACCCGCAGCUUGGAAAUCGCAGAUCCACGCCCAGGGCCGCCUGGCCCCGAAGCCCUUUGUCCGCCCCUCUGAGGUCUCAUUUUGGGAAGGCAGCGAGAUUGAUCAUGUGUCUGCAGCCAGCCUCGCUAUUCCCGGAGAGCCGGGCCCACCAGCUGGAAUACCAAGUGUUUUGUUACUUACAUCACAUCCAAUAAGUAUCAUUCCUUUGGCUGGACAUUGAGAAAUGGUCUCAGCCACCGAGGUGGAAGGUGAAAGAGGAAUUGCUGGGAAAGAGGGAAAUGAUCAGCUGGACAGAGGCUGGGGUGGACCAGGAGGCAGAGAAGGUCCCGAGGCCAAGGAGGCCAGCCAGGGGGUGGGGGCAGUGGGCUUCCCGCCCAGCCACCCCGCCGCCUGCUCCUGGUGACCUGGACAGCCCGUUGGCCUCUCCGAGCCUUGGCUUCCUGCUGGGUAACAUAGCUCUGAUCAUGCACAACCUUAGGGCAGCUCCAUUCCUGGACGUCUCAUUGACCACGACUCUGCUGGACCCUGUUACCUCCUUUGUCUUUCCUGCCUUUGCACGGCUGGUGGCUCCAGCAGGAGCCUGUUCCCCUCCUGUGGCCCGCCCCACACCCCUGCCCCGCUCACCCUCCUGGCUGAAGCGCCUCUUCCUCCGGGCAGCCCCCCACUGCCCCACGCUGGACUGUCUGCCUGCUCUGCCCACAGCCUGUGCCCCUUCCCACGGUGGGAAAUCUGUGCUGCUCAGUGCUGCAUCCCCAGAGCCCAGGACAGGGCCUGCACGUAGUAGGUGCUUAAUAAAUGGAUGAUAUUUAUUUAUUCAAUAAAUAUAUGUUGAUCCCCAACUGCAUGGUAGGCUUCACGUGGUAGCAGGACUUUUGGAAGCUCUAGGCAGCACCAGCCCUUCUCCCUCUGCCUGUGGCCUGUCCUGGCUUCUGUGUGCUUCACCCCCCCCUCCUCUCCCCCACCUCAUCCCCUGGGCCCAUUCCAGUCCCUACGUCUAAAGCACAGGACCUGGGCAAGCUGGUGAGGGGCUCAGGGCCAGGCAGACGGAGUCCGAAGGGCCUGUUAAGCUUAGAUGUGCAGAUUCUGGGCCUAGAGGACAGGCCAGGGCCCUAAGGGCGGGCUGGAAGUCAGCUCCUUACAGAGCAGGGGAAGUAGCUAGAGUCCAGGGGCUGGAAAAACGGGUCUACGCAUUUGUAUUCAAACUGAGCCCACACCUUUGACUCUAGUGAGCUGAGGAGCUGCGAGAAGCUGUGACCUUGGAGGGACCUCCUGGUCCAGCCCCACCCUGCCCGUCCUGUUAUAUGAGGGGGGACCUAAAAAAAAAACAACCCUGGAAUUUAUUUAUAAAAAUGGUGUAUUUAUUCUUACAUGUUUAAACAUCUGUCAUCUGCAAAGUUCUCCCCAUUUGAUGCAAUACACCUACUGAGACACUUUUUCCAUAGCUCACAACAGUUUUUGAACUCGUUGAUUUUGAUGCGUUUCAGUACUUCUGCCGUUUUUUGUUUUACCUCUUCCACGUGGGCAAAACCUUUCCCAUUGAGGACCUUUUUCCUCUGGGUAAACAAGCAAACAAAGGUUGAUUGGGAUGA